GUCUAUGGCCAUGCCACCCUGAACAUGCUCGAUCUCCUCUGAUCUGGGAAGCUAAGCAGGGUCGGGCCUGGUUAGUACUUAGAUGGGAGACCACCUAGAAAGACCAGGUACUGUAGGAG
rnacentral:rRNA from 1 species